UACGGAAACAGGUUUUUCAAGAAGUGCCAAUCAGUCGAGUCACUAAAUAUAUAUAAAAAUAGCAUUUGGCAUUUUUCAAACGAUAUUUUCAAACCAAUGCCAAAUUUGUCAAACCUUUAUUUAACUGACAACUUUCUCCAAUCUAUUCCAGAACAACUGCAUACGCAUACAAACAUAAAGGUACUUGAUGUUAGAAAAAAUCUCCUUACGACUAUAAAUUCACUCAUUAGAAAUUGGGCAGAUCAGAUGCAUGAAACUCAUGGAAUGACUUUGUACCUGGACGGCAAUGCAUUUAUUUGCAACUGUGACAAUUUAGACUUGAUACGGUGGAUCCAUAUUACAAACGUCGAACUGGACAGUCGGUCUUAUAAAUGUCAAUUAUCAAAUGGAAGCGUUACUGAUACACUUACUGCAUACAACUCUUUUUCCGAAUUAUUUUCGGACUGUAAGAGUAAUAUGUGGUUGACCUUUGCUUCAACAUUGUUAUCUACAUGUGUUACAAUCUCUUUACUGCUUCUGUUGUAUAGUAAGAGAUGGAAGAUUACCUUUUCUAUUUAUGGAGUAAUUCAACGUACUAUUGAAAAAAA
rnacentral:lncRNA from 1 species